GACGAACGCUGGCGGCGUGCUUAACACAUGCAAGUCGAACGAAAAGAGGGAAAGAGCUUGCUCUUUCCGGAAUUGAGUGGCAAACGGGUGAGUAACACGUAAACAACCUGCCUUCAGGAUGGGGACAACAGACGGAAACGACUGCUAAUACCGAAUAAGUUCCAAGGGCCGCAUGGCCCAUGGAAGAAAAGGUGGCCUCUACCUGUAAGCUAUCGCCUGAAGAGGGGUUUGCGUCUGAUUAGCUGGUUGGAGGGGUAACGGCCCACCAAGGCGACGAUCAGUAGCCGGUCUGAGAGGAUGAACGGCCACACUGGCACUGAGACACGGUCCAGACUCCUACGGGAGGCAGCAGUGGGGAAUCUUCCGCAAUGGGCGAAAGCCUGACGGAGCAACGCCGCGUGAGUGAUGACGGCCUUCGGGUUGUAAAACUCUGUGAUCCGGGACGAAAAGGCAGAGUGCGAAGAACAAACUGCAUUGACGGUACCAGAAAAGCAAGCCACGGCUAACUACGUG
rnacentral:rRNA from 1 species